rnacentral:rRNA from 1 species
AUUGAACGCUGGCGGCAGGCCUAACACAUGCAAGUCGAGCGGAUGACGGGAGCUUGCUCCUUGAUUUAGCGGCGGACGGGUGAGUAACGCCUAGGAAUCUGCCUGGUAGUGGGGGAUAACGUUCCGAAAGGAACGCUAAUACCGCAUACGUCCUACGGGAGAAAGCAGGGGACCUUCGGGCCUUGCGCUAUCAGAUGAGCCUAGGUCGGAUUAGCUAGUUGGUGAGGUAAUGGCUCACCAAGGCGACGAUCCGUAACUGGUCUGAGAGGAUGAUCAGUCACACUGGAACUGAGACACGGUCCAGACUCCUACGGGAGGCAGCAGUGGGGAAUAUUGGACAAUGGGCGAAAGCCUGAUCCAGCCAUGCCGCGUGUGUGAAGAAGGUCUUCGGAUUGUAAAGCACUUUAAGUUGGGAGGAAGGGCAGUAAGUUAAUACCUUGCUGUUUUGACGUUACCGACAGAAUAAGCACCGGCUAACUUCGUGCCAGCAGCCGCCGUAACAC